UAUAUUUUACAGUAUUCUACUAUCUGCACUUUUCUUUUUAUCCUUCUGAGGACUCAGCUUAUUGGAAGAAGUUUUCCUGCACUUUACAGAUUACCCCUGAGGGGAGAUAUGUGCAGAACAUCUAUGUUCUCUUCUUGAACAUCCUGAGUGCCUGGAGAUCUUCUUUUUGUUGCCUUAUCGUUGUGGGAUUGAUGGUCCUGGUCCAGUGCACCGAAUGCUCGCUGGGAUGGAGUGCGGCUCCUAUCUACAUUUUUGCGCACAAGAAAAGAAAGCACAAAGAACAUCUUCACAUUAUGUUACAUAUGUAAUUUAUUUUUUUCUGUUAAUAAAAAAAAGUAUAUUUGUGUUU